CAUUUUAACAAUGUUAAUUUCUGCCUAUCCAAGAACAUGGGAGGUAUUUCUAUCUUCUAAGAACUUCUUCAGUUUCUUUCUUCAAUGAUAGUUUUUAUUGUAGAAGUCCUUCAUCUCCAUGUUUAGAUUUAUUCCUAGGUAUUUUUUUUCCUGAUUUCUUUUUCAGCAGAUUCAUUAUUGGUGUUUAGGAAAGCUGUUGAUUUUGUAUGUUAAUUUAUACCUGCUACUUUACUGAAUUUGUUUGUUAGCUCUAGAAGUCUCUUGGUGGGGCUUUUGGAUCUUCUACGUAGAGAAUCCUAUCAUCUACAAACAGUGGUAAUUUUACUUCUUCCUAUCUAAUUCUUAUUCCUUUUAUUCUCCUCCCUUGACUAAUGCUUCGACUAGAAUUUCUAGUGCUAUAUUGAAUAGGAGUGAUGAAAGUGGACAUCCUUGUCUUGUUCAGAAUUUAAAGGAAAUGUUUUGAUUUUUCCCCCUUUUACUAUGAAGUUAGCUUUAAGGGGGGUUGUAUAUAGCCUCUGUAAUGUUGAGGUCAGUUCUUCUAUCCCUAAUAUCAGUUUGUUGCUUUCUCUGUAUCUUUUGAGAUGAUUGUGAUUUUUUUAUGUCUUUAUUUCUAUUCAUGUGGUGAAUUAAUUUGUUGAUUUGCAUGUAUUAAACCAUUCUUGCAUCCCUGGGGGGGAAAAACUUGAGCAUGACACACAAUCUUCUUAAUAUGUUGUUGAAUAUGAUGUGCUAAGACUUUUAAAGGAUUUUUGCAUCUAAGUUCAUUAGGGAAGUUGAUCUGUAGUUUUCCUUCCUUGAUGUGUCCUUAUCUGGUUUUGGUAUGAGGGUGAUCCUGGCUUCAUGAAAUGAAUUUUUGUGUUCCAUCCCUUUCUAGUUUAUGGAAUAGUGUGAGGAGAAUUGGCAUUAGUUCUUCCUUAAAGUACUGGUAGAAUUCAGCCGAGAAUCCAUCUGGUUGUUGGCUUUUCUUUGUU
rnacentral:lncRNA from 1 species